AACAGCAGCGUAGCUGAACAUCUUACGGAUGGCCCAGGGCUCCAAAGGCUCGUUUCCUAAGUGAGAGAGAGCCUGGCUGAAGCUGUAUUACCAUUCAUUCUCCAGCCUCCGAAGUCUCAAAGCAUCACUUCCACCAUACUCUAACUGUCAAGACAAACACAAAGGCCCAGAAACUGCCAGACUGUCUUCUGAAGUGGCUAUAAUAUUUACACUCCCAUCAGCAGUGUAGAAGGGGUCUCACUAUGUUGUCUGGAGUGCUGUGGUGGAGUGGAGUGGCUAUUCACAGAGCCUGUUCUGCUGGGACACAGAAUCACUUGCUCCAUCUCAUACAUUGAUGAUGAUUAAUUUGUAUGUGUACCUUCCAAAAAAGAUGGUUGUGUUUGAAUGGAGGCCUUCUGGACAGGAAAAUAUGGAGAGUGCGUGCUUUGGAUUCAAGACUGGGAAUGAGGGGACCAGAAACCUAUUCUGUGGCUGUUUCUUGUUAGGACUUUCCUAAGCCUCUGGAAAAGUGCAAAGUACAAUUAACAUUUGAGUCUGUCUGAGUCAUGAAGAAAUGGAGAUUACUGAAAAUAAUUCAUUUUGGUAUCUUCUUACAUCCUGAGAGACUAAUCUUUCCAAGUUCAUCUGAGGCUCCUCUUCUCCAUGACAACCUCAUCCAGGGAUUUCUUCCUGUCCUGGUGUUUUAUGACAUGUGGAAGGGGACUGUAGCAGGUGAUCUCCAAAGUCUCUGGAGACUUACUAAUGUGCAUCCUCAUCUCGCUUGUAAGGAUAAUAGCCUUCCUCCAAACCUCACACACUUUUGGAGGAGAUCACUUUUUUUAAAGUGCAUGGAAAUGUUUUGAAACAGUGAAAUCUAUAAUGAUAGGUUUCAUAAUUCUAACAUCCACACCAUAUGAAUCACAUCCUUCCUGAGAUAAUGAGCACACAAUUGCCUGGAUACCUGAAGGAAUGGAGACAGCGGCAGAAAACACUGCAGAGAGGUGGAAACAUCCGUUAAUAUUUUAAAAUCCCAUUACUGCUACCAACAAUAAUAAUGGAUGCAUAGAAAUAGAUCUGGAUUAGCUGAGCUUGAAACAGUCCAUCUCACACACACACAAAAGAAUUUCAGAUACAGUGAACCCACAUGUUGAAGCUUUCUAGUAUAAUAAAAAUUUCAACUGUUCUGUUGAAUCAUCUGCCUGAUUGGAGGCUACAGAAAAGAUGUCAUCUUAGGAGUGCUUGCUCUGAGUGAGGCUCAUCUUCAAAUCUGAAUGACCACAAGGAGAUUUGAUUAUACAUGUGAACACCUCAGAAGGCACAGCCCACCCAGAAGGCAGACAGAAGAAGCUGCCAGGAAGACUGUGAAAUCUUCAUGCCCAAGGAUCCCUAAAAUUAGGAGCAACAACCACUUGGCUCAGACGGUUUAUGGAGGCAAAGGUUUGGAUGGGAUUAGAGAUUUCUAAAUGAGGAGACAGACACUAGAGCUCACCGGCUCGCCCUCUCACUCCUACUCAUCUGAGAAGGCAGCCAGCUAACCCUUCAGCCAGGAAGAGGGUCCUCAUCAGAACCUGGCCGUGGUGGCAUCCAGAUCUUGAACCUCCGGACUCCAGACUGUGAGAAAAUAAGUGUGUUGUUUAAAC
ensembl:lncRNA LINC00635 long intergenic non-protein coding RNA 635